rnacentral:lncRNA from 1 species
CGUCGAUUCUGGCACGAAGAUCAAUAAUAGGUCGUCAAGUUUCGGGGUUAAGAGCUCGACGGCGAGUUCGAGAAAGUUGGGGGGUGGAGGUUCUGUCCAAGUACAUGAGUGAUAUUCAGACAAGGCAUGAAUAUUCAGUUGGGGGGUGGAGACCGAUGUCGGCGACGGCGGCUUCGACCUCCCUCACCUUCCGCCUCUAGAUCCUAGUCAUCGCCAACCGGUUCAAGUCCAUAUCGCCUCAGCCGGAGAGUCCGAAUCUGAUUCUCAUCGGCGCCUAGCUCAACAACCCGGAAGGGUGGCCCGCUUCUGAUAAAGCUAGCCUGAGACACCAUCGCCUCCGGCGAAGGCCCUAACUGGGCGCUGGACUAUGCCGUCAGGGAGGCCAGGUCGUUCGAGCGGUAUGUCGUCGACGACGAGCCCAGCCCGGACC